rnacentral:hammerhead_ribozyme from 1 species
AUUCAGUUGAUAAGUCCCAAAUAGGACGAAACACACGUCCUAGAU